UACGUAGGUGGCAAGCGUUGUCCGGAUUUACUGGGCGUAAAGAGCGCGCAGGCGGUCGGAUAAGUCGAAUGUGAAAGCCCCCGGCUCAACUGGGGAGGGUCAUUCGAUACUGUUCGACUCGAAGGCAGGAGAGGGAAGUGGAAUUCCCGGUGUAGUGGUGAAAUGCGUAGAUAUCGGGAGGAACACCAGUGGCGAAGGCGGGUCUCUGGGCCGUAACUGACGCUGAGGAGCGAAAGCAUGGGGAGCGAACAGG
rnacentral:rRNA from 1 species